rnacentral:piRNA from 1 species
UUGGAAAUUUAAUUUUGCGCCUGGAAAAAGU